rnacentral:rRNA from 1 species
GAUGAACGCUGGCGGCGUGCCUAAUACAUGCAAGUCGAGCGAACAGACGAGGAGCUUGCUCCUCUGACGUUAGCGGCGGAAGGGUGAGUAACACGUGGAUAACCUACCUAUAAGACUGGGAUAACUUCGGGAAACCGGAGCUAAUACCGGAUAAUAUAUUGAACCGUAUGGUUCAAUAGUGAAAGACGGUUUUGCUGUCACUUAUAGAUGGAUCCGCGCCGCAUUAGCUAGUUGGUAAGGUAACGGCUUACCAAGGCAACGAUGCGUAGCCGACCUGAGAGGGUGAUCGGCCACACUGGAACUGAGACACGGUCCAGACUCCUCCGGGAGGCAGCAGUAGGGUAUCUACCGCAAUGCGCGAAAGCCUGCCGGAGCAACGCCGCGUGAGUUAUGAAGGUCUUCGGAUCGUAAAACUCUGUUAUUAGGGAAGAACAAAUGUGUAAGUAACUAUGCACGUCUUGACGGUACCUAAUCAGAAAGCCACGGCUAACUACGUG